GCCUUCAUGGUGUAAUGGAAGCAUACUCGACGAGUAUUCGAGAGCUCCGGGGUUCGAAUCCCGGUGAGGGCA